rnacentral:rRNA from 1 species
AUUGAACGCUGGCGGCAUGCCUUACACAUGCAAGUCGAGCGGGGGAGGUUGCUUCGGUAACUGACCUAGCGGCGGACGGGUGAGUAAUGCUUAGGAAUCUGCCUAUUAGUGGGGGACAACAUUCGGAAAGGGAUGCUAAUACCGCAUACGCCCUACGGGGGAAAGCAGGGGAUCUUCGGACCUCGCGCUAAUAGAUGAGCCUAAGUCGGAUUAGCUAGUUGGUGGGGUAAAGGCCUACCAAGGCGACGAUCUGUAGCGGGUCUGAGAGGAUGAUCCGCCACGCUGGGACUGAGACACGGCCCAGACUCCUACGGGAGGCAGCAGUGGGGAAUAUUGGACAAUGGGCGGAAGCCUGAUCCAGCCAUGCCGCGUGUGUGAAGAAGGCCUUUUGGUUGUAAAGCACUUUAAGCGAGGAGGAGGCUCUUAAGGUUAAUACCCUUGAUGAGUGGACGUUACUCGCAGAAUAAGCACCGGCUAACUCUGUGCCAGCAGCCGCCGUAAUAC